CUGGAGUGAGGUGAGUUCCUUCAAAUGCACAAAAAUGGGAUCAGAUUUGAGAAAACAAGAAGGGAUAACUGGAAAGGGGUUAGAGCAGAGGAACUGGUCUGGAAGGAAAUCUCUACCCCUCAGUCUGUCAAAGGCCCUCUACCACCUGGCUUCCUUUAUCUCUGGACUUUGUGAGAUGGCUACUCUCAAGCUGGAACACCGUUUGUACCACCCAUGAACUCUUGUUCCUGCUAUCCCAUCCUGCCUAGUGCCCAGGUACCAUCUGCUUUAAUCAGAGUCUUGAAAACUGAACCCAACUGUAAGUAUUUCAUACUUUGGGCUGUAUUUCCACACUCGUGAUAACAAGUUAUCAUUUGUUGUACAACUGUAUGUUCCUAGUGCUACACCUGGCGUCUUCAUGAUCCCUACUUAAUCCGUACAAACCUCAGGCAGGAAUUAUCACAUCUGUUUAUAGGUAGGUAAUCUCAAGACCAGAGCUGUGACACAGUUCAAGUAAGGUCGCCCACCUGGAGCUAUCAGGGUCAGCAUCCAAACACUUUUAUUUUCCUGUCACCAAAACCUGUGCUUCUAGAGACUACAAUAGUCUUAAUUUGGGGCAUAAUCAUUUAGCCAAACAACAUUUAAGGAGAGUCUAUAUGGAUGCCAGUCAAUAAGCUAUAUUCUAAGGCCCAAUAAUUAAAAUGAUUCUUACAAUAUAAUAAUAUAGGAAUAUUAAGUAAAGAAAUAUACAAAGAGUUUAAGGCUUCUCAAAGACAACGUAUCACAGCAGGCUUGCAGGGUAUAUGGAAGUUUCUUAGGUCAACUCAAAGGUACAGCAUUAUAUAUGUCCAUGGAGUGUUCACAAUUCUUCAGCAGCAUUCUAGAAGCAUUGCCAAGAACAGGGUAGGAGGUUACCUUUGUCAAGUGGGGGCUAGAAGCUAUUGAAGGUUACUUGAAGCCACAGAAGGACUUCAAAGUGGAAGAUGAUUAGAUCAUGUGCCCUGAAGCGUGCAAAUUGAAUCCUCUGCAAACCAGUCCAAUGGCUUUAUCCAGAGCUCUAUGCUGCGUGAUGAUAGUAUCCUUAGAGAAUGAAGGAAUAUGUGUUAUCCUUAUUCUUUUACAGGGGUUUUGAUGAUCUGAGGUAAAGCAUCGUUUUGAAGCCAUCAUUUAUUUUAUUCUGAGAUUAAAGCAUUAAUAAGAAGCUUGGAGUCUAGUGGAAUGACAAGACCAGGGCCACUGCAUGCUGAGAGUCUGCAGUUCAGCAGGAGAGACUGGCAUUACUUUUGCAGGAAGUGGAGCAACAAGGUGGAGUCUGGGGAACAGAACCAAGCCUACAGGUCAAGGAGAGAGUAGAAAGCCGAGAGGUGCUCCAUGAAGAUGGAAGGGUAAGUAAGACACGCUCUCUCUUUGCAAAUAAUUUAUAACCUAGUACAGAUGAAACAGUAUAAACUCUGUAAUAAUUACCAGUGGUCUCAGUUAGUGAAUAAGCAUGGCAAUUACCCAGUGGGAAAGAAUCCCAGCAGGAGGCCAGCAUUAGAAGACAUGAGAUGGGCUCCUGUGCUGAGAGAAGCCUGGGAACAGUAGCUGAACUCCCAGCUGAGUCUGGAGGAAGGGUGGGAUUCAAAACUAGAGGAGAGAAGAAAGCUUGUUGUGCCUGUGGGAAAACAUGAGAAAGAACACCAGAACAAUUGAAGUAGAGACCACCUGACAGCUGCAAGGACAGAAGGACAGCUGGACAGCUGGACAGCUGCAAAGACAGAGGUUGCUAUCAGGCCGAAGUUUGUAGCCAGGACAGAUAUUGCCCCCUAGAGACUGUAGACAAUGCCCCAAUGUCUGGAAUUAUUAUUAUUAUUAUUAUUAUUAUUAUUAUUAUUAUUAUA